ACAAAUUAUGAAGUUAAGAAUAAUGCUAUCUAAUACCAUGGUACUGAACACUAAUUUAGGUAUCAUGAUGUCAUAGCUUCCAAUAAAUAAAUCAUAAAUCUUUAUAUUUAAUUGAAUUUAUAAUUCAAUGAUAUAAAUCCUCCAACCUAAAUCGAUAUUAAACACCAAUAUGCUGAAUAGGAUUAUUCUUAAUUUAAAAUAUGUUAAUGAAUAAAUGAAGCUGAUUCCAGCAUUACUAUUUUCACAUUAGAAAGAGUUUAACUCUUCUCUUCUCUUCAAUUAUCUUAUUUUUAAAUUAAAAUAUGUUAACUCUUCUCUUGUCUUCUCUUCAAUGAUUACAAGUCAAAACUUGAUUGAGACCCUCUUCCAGAUUUCUCAGGAAACUGAGAGGUCAAAUGCGUCAAUUCCUUUUCAUUUCACAGUUAAAUAUUUGGAUUUUGCCAUUCAUAGUUUCAUACGUUCUUUACUUCACAUCAUGAUUUACAUUUCAUUUGUUUUCAAAAAUUGUGGUGGGAAAAAUGUUUUUUUUCAUAUAUUGGCAAAUGAGUUUACAUGUCGCCAAGCAUGAUUCUAAAUAUUUUGAGUUGGCAGAAUGUUUAGCUAAAAAAUUAUCAAAAUUCAAAUUUUGCUUGGACAAACUAUUUUACUGUGUUUUUAAUAUACAUUUAGGUUUAUUGUAUUCUUAAAUGAUGUAAGCUGAUUCUUUAGUCCCUAUAUCAUCAAACAAAAUUGGUUAAAGUGAAAAUUGCUUGUUUGUGCUGUUUGGCAAUGAAUAUCAAAUUGCAAAACUUUUACAGCUAUGGUAGAUGAUAUAUACCUUUCUCUAUAAUGGUGACAUCCUUUUUUAGUGUUCUCUUCAAGGUAGCGUUUAAGGGUGUGCAAAGAAUCUUAUAGAAACUAUUCUUUUUGGAGUCUAUUCUCUGCUGUGAUUGGUGUGCAAAUUGGAGCUAUUUAUCCGUGUUUGGGAGUUAUUGCACUGGGGGAAAACAGGGUCUUUAGUGCUAGUUUCUUUAAUGGAUAUUGUCUAAUUUGAGAUCUGAGCAAUAAAGGUCUCUUGGAAUUAUUGGAGUUGCUGGCUUUCUGUUCCGUUCUUGAACUUUUUGGGUUGUUCUCUUGCUGCCUUACAGAGUGAAUUCACCAUCAAUCUGUUGAGAAAGAAGAAAAUGGCUCCAUUUUUUGGCUGGGGGACUAAAGAUUCAUCAAAGGGAACUCCAGUGGUAGUGAAAAUGGAGAAUCCGAAUUUCACCAUUGUGGAAAUUGAUGGCCCUGAUGCUGCAUUUAAGGCAGUCGAGAAGACCCGGGGCAAGAAUGCCAAACAAGUUAGAUGGAUUUUGCUUCUUAAGGCUAAUCGAGCCGUUGGGUGUGUUUCUUGGCUUGCUUCCAUUUUGUGGGCAGUUCUUGGAACUAUUAAGAAAAGGUUGAUUUUCAGACAAGGUGUAGAUUUAGCUAGUGAGAAGCUGGGAAAGGGUAAAUUGUUGUUCAAAAUUAUUAAAGCCUUCUUAGUGAUUUCCCUGUUAAUUCUGGCCUUUGAGGUUCUUGCUUACUUGAAAGGUUGGCAUUAUUUUGAAAAUCCGGAUUUGUACAUUCCACACACUUCUGAUGUCCAAGGAUUGUUCCACUUGGUUUAUGUUUCUUGGCUGGAAUUUCGGGCUGAUUACAUUGCGCCGUUCGUUCAAUCUCUUUCAACAUUUUGUGUUACUCUGUUCCUAAUCCAGUCUCUGGAUCGCAUGUUGCUCUGCUUGGGAUGCUUAUAUAUCAAGUUCAAGAAGAUUAAACCAACCAUUAACGGGGAUCCGUUUAAAUCAGAUGACCUGGAAGGAUCACUUCACAAUUACCCUAUGGUUCUUGUCCAAAUCCCAAUGUGUAAUGAGUGGGAGGUAUAUGAGUUGUCGAUUUCAGCAGUAUGUCAACUUGAUUGGCCAAAAGACCGUUUGCUGAUCCAAGUUCUUGAUGACUCUGAUGAUGAAAGCAUUCAGAAGUUGAUUAAGGCUGAGGUUUCCAAAUGGAGGCAACAGGGAAUUAACAUAAUCUACCGGCAUCGUUUGAUCAGGACUGGUUAUAAAGCUGGGAAUCUCAAGUCUGCAAUGAGCUGCGAUUAUGUGAAGGAUUAUGAAUUUGUUGCAAUAUUCGAUGCAGAUUUCCAACCAACCGCAGAUUUUCUCAAGCAGACGGUUCCCCAUUUUAAGGAUAAUCCUGAGAUAGGAUUGGUUCAGGCUAGAUGGGCAUUUGUCAAUAAGGACGAAAACUUGUUGACUCGUCUCCAGAACAUAAACUUGUGUUAUCAUUUUGAGAUUGAACAGCAGGUUAAUGGGGUUUUCCUGAAUUUCUUUGGUUUUAAUGGAACUGCUGGUGUUUGGAGAAUCAAAGCGUUGGAAGAAUCUGGAGGUUGGCUUGAACGUACAACCGUAGAAGAUAUGGACAUAGCUGUUCGUGCACAUCUCAACGGCUGGAAAUUCAUAUAUCUAAAUGAUGUUAAGGUCCUUUGCGAAGUUCCCGAGUCUUUUGAAGCUUACAGGAAGCAACAACAUCGUUGGCAUUCCGGUCCUAUGCAGCUUUUCCGGCUGUGUCUGCCGUCUGUCAUAACUUCGAAGAUAUCAAUAUGGAAGAAAGCAAACUUAUUAUUUCUCUUCUUCUUGUUGAGAAAACUGAUCCUUCCUUUCUAUUCUUUCACAUUAUUUUGCGUAAUUCUUCCUUUAACCAUGUUUAUCCCUGAAGCCGAGCUUCCCAUGUGGGUUAUUUGCUACGUGCCGAUUCUUAUGACAUUACUUAACGUUCUCCCGGCACCAAAAUCCAUUCCGUUCAUCGCCCCUUACCUACUUUUCGAAAACACCAUGUCUGUAACAAAAUUCAACGCAAUGGUAUCGGGACUCUUCCAGUUGGGCAGUUCAUACGAGUGGAUUGUGACAAAAAAAGCAGGCAGAUCUUCGGAAUCCGAUUUACUGGCUGUUGUUGACAAGGAUAUGAAAUCAAUGUUACAACGACAGAUCAUCCGAGGUGCUUCUGAAAGUGAUCUUUCAGAGUUGACCCCAUUGAAAGAACAAAAGCCUCGACCGGUUAAGAAAAGCAAUAAGAUAUACAGAAAAGAGCUAGCCCUUUCUUUCCUCUUGCUUACAGCUUCAGUCAGAAGCCUUUUAUCCGCUCAAGGACUCCAUUUCUACUUUCUGCUUUUCCAAGGAGUGACCUUCCUUCUGGUUGGCCUUGACUUGAUUGGAGAGCAAAUCAGUUAACAAAAAGGAUCAAUGACAGCAAAAGACUGGACGUGAAACAUUUCCAUUGAACGUAAAGGUUGAACUCCAACCUUGAGAGCUCCCACCGCCCCGCCCCUAGAGCUUUGUGAGGGACGUUACCAUUGAACAUAGCUUGUAUACUUCGCCACAUAUUGCAUGCUUGUGAGAGGAGAAGGUGUCGGCAGAGCCCUAAAAGAGUGGGGAAAACAACCUCAAUAUUGAUCGAGCUCAGGCAGUCGAGGACCACCAAAAUUAUGUAGGUAUGCAACUUGUGGAUUUCAAUCUCAGUGAAGAAAGAUGGCAAGUUCAAUGGGCUGUUAGUGACAUCAAUUUUGGGACAACUUUAGUCCUUUUAUUUGGCCACUUUGCUGUGGUUUCUUUGCUGCUUGCAUUGCUGAUACUGUUCAUUUCUUUGAUGUUGGUUUGAUCUACUUGUCACGUAUUGCACGGGAUUCUUGUUC